rnacentral:rRNA from 1 species
CCUACGGGCGGCAGCAGUGAGGAAUAUUGGUCAAUGGGAGAGAUCCUGAACCAGCCAAGCCGCGUGAGGGAAGACGGCACUAUGGGUCGUAAACCUCUUUUGUCGGGGGACAAAAACCGGGACGAGUCCCCGACUGCGUGUAUCCGAAGAAAAAGCAUCGGCUAACUCCGUGCCAGCAGCCGCGGUAAUACGGAGGAUGCGAGCGUUAUCCGGAUUUAUUGGGUUUAAAGGGUGCGUAGGCGGUCUGUUAAGUCAGCGGUAAAAGCGCGGGGCUCAACCCCGUCGUGCCGUUGAAACUGGCAGGCUGGAGUGGGAGAGAGGUAGGCGGAAUGCGCGGUGUAGCGGUGAAAUGCAUAGAUAUCGCGCAGAACUCCGAUUGCGAAGGCAGCGGACCGGCGCCAGACUGACGCUGAGGCACGAAAGCGUGGGGAUCGAACAGGAUUAGAUACCCGUGUAGUC